AGUGCGAGUGCAAGUAGAUAUUUAUUGGCACGAGACGAGUGGUUGAUACGACGCCGUCAGGAAUGGACGACGUCGUUUCCCAGUAUUUUUGAAGAUAGCCUCGGGUUGUGAGAUUUCGUUCAGGGGAAGUGGGGUCCUAGAAUCCGCCGUGGGUUGUGCAAUAUGAUGGAAAUAUUCUCUUCUUUUUAAAAAAAAAAUAGAAGGGAAAAGAUAUCAAAAUUAUGAUGAUUCUAACUUUACACUUGACAUUUAUUUUAAAGUUUUGUAAGAAUUGAGUUUACAGUUUAUUUUUCGAAACUCUGAAAGUGUACUUUUUAUAUGUUUUCUAAAUAAAAAGC
rnacentral:lncRNA from 1 species